GAUGAACGCUGGCGGCGUGCCUAAUACAUGCAAGUCGAGCGAACGGACGAGAAGCUUGCUUCUCUGAUGUUAGCGGCGGACGGGUGAGUAACACGUGGAUAACCUACCUAUAAGACUGGGAUAACUUCGGGAAACCGUAGCUAAUACCGGAUAAUAUUUUGAACCGCAUGGUUCAAAAGUGAAAGACGGUCUUGCUGUCACUUAUAGAUGGAUCCGCGCUGCAUUAGCUAGUUGGUAAGGUAACGGCUUACCAAGGCAACGAUGCAUAGCCGACCUGAGAGGGUGAUCGGCCACACUGGAACUGAGACACGGUCCAGACUCCUACGGGAGGCAGCAGUAGGGAAUCUUCCGCAAUGGGCGAAAGCCUGACGGAGCAACGCCGCGUGAGUGAUGAAGGUCUUCGGAUCGUAAAGCUCUGUUAUUGGGGAAGAACAGAUGUGUAAGUAACUGUGCACAUCUUGACGGUACCUAAUCAGAAAGCAACGGCUAACUACGUG
rnacentral:rRNA from 1 species